rnacentral:rRNA from 1 species
AGUGAACGCUGGCGGUAGGCCUAACACAUGCAAGUCGAACGGCAGCACAGUAAGAGCUUGCUCUUACGGGUGGCGAGUGGCGGACGGGUGAGGAAUACAUCGGAAUCUACUUUUUCGUGGGGGGUAACGUAGGGAAACUUACGCUAAUACCGCAUACGACCUACGGGUGAAAGCAGGGGAUCUUCGGACCUUGCGCGAUUGAAUGAGCCGAUGUCGGAUUAGCUAGUUGGCGGGGUAAAGGCCCACCAAGGCGACGAUCCGUAGCUGGUCUGAGAGGAUGAUCAGCCACACUGGAACUGAGACACGGUCCAGACUCCUACGGGAGGCAGCAGUGGGGAAUAUUGGACAAUGGGCGCAAGCCUGAUCCAGCCAUACCGCGUGGGUGAAGAAGGCCUUCGGGUUGUAAAGCCCUUUUGUUGGGAAAGAAAAGCAGCAGGUUAAUACCCCGCUGUUCUGACGGUACCCAAAGAAUAAGCACCGGCUAACCUCGUG